CCUACGGGAGGCAGCAGUGGGGAAUAUUGGACAAUGGGCGAAAGCCUGAUCCAGCCAUGCCGCGUGUGUGAAGAAGGCCUUCGGGUUGUAAAGCACUUUCAGUGGGGAAGAAAGCCUUGGGGCUAAUACCCUCGAGGAAGGACAUCACCCACAGAAGAAGCACCAGCUAACUCCGUGCCAGCAGCCGCGGUAAUACGGAGGGUGCGAGCGUUAAUCGGAAUUACUGGGCGUAAAGCGCGCGUAGGCGGUCUGAUAAGCCGGUUGUGAAAGCCCCGGGCUCAACCUGGGAACGGCAUCCGGAACUGUCAGGCUAGAGUGCAGGAGAGGAAGGUAGAAUUCCCGGUGUAGCGGUGAAAUGCGUAGAGAUCGGGAGGAAUACCAGUGGCGAAGGCGGCCUUCUGGACUGACACUGACGCUGAGGUGCGAAAGCGUGGGUAGCAAACAGGAUUAGAUACCCUUGUAGUC
rnacentral:rRNA from 1 species